UACGGAGGGGGCAAGCGUUGUUCGGAAUUAUUGGGCGUAAAGCGUAUGUAGGCGGCUAGGUAAGUCAGGCGUGCAAGCCCGUGGCUCAACCACGGAAUUGCGCUUGAAACUGCUUGGCUUGAGUACAGGAGAGGAAAGCGGAAUUCCCAGUGUAGCGGUGAAAUGCAUUGAUAUUGGGAAGAACAUCUGUGGCGAAGGCGGCUUUCUGGCCUGUUACUGACGCUGAGAUACGAAAGCCAGGGUAGCGAACGGG
rnacentral:rRNA from 1 species